rnacentral:rRNA from 1 species
UACGUGGGGUGCGAGCGUUAAUCGGAAUUACUGGGCGUAAAGCGCACGUAGUCGGCUUGCCAAGUCGGGUGUGAAAUCCCCGGGCUCAACCUGGGAACUGCAUCCGAAACUGGCUUGCUAGAGUAUGGGAGAGGGAGGCGGAAUUUCUGGUGUAGCAGUGAAAUGCGUAGAUAUCAGAAGGAACAUCAGUGGCGAAGGCGGCCUCCUGGACCAAUACUGACGAUCAGGUGCGAAAGCGUGGGGAGCAAACAGG